rnacentral:rRNA from 1 species
UACAGAGGGCGAGCAGCUGUUGGUGAAUUACUGGGCGUAAAGGGCGCGUAGCGGCCUGUUAAGUCGAACGUGAAAUCCCCGGGCUCAACCCGGGAACUGCGUCCGAUACUGGCAGGCUUGAAUCCGGGAGAGGGAGCGAAUUCCAGGUGUAGCGGUGAAAUGCGUAGAUAUCUGGAGGAACACCGGUGGCGAAGGCGGCAUCCUGGACCGGCAUUGACGCUGAGGCGCGAAAGCCAGGGGAGCAAACGGG